AGUGAACGCUGGCGGCGUGCCUAAUACAUGCAAGUCGAACGCGAAAGUCCUUCGGGAUGAGUAAAGUGGCGCACGGGUGAGUAAUGCAUGAGAACAUGCCCUUAGAUGGGGAAUAACGUUUGGAAACGAACGCUAAUACCGCAUAAUCUCGAGAGAGAAAAGGUGGCGCCGCAAGGGCUACCGUCUAAGGAUUGGCUCAUGUCCCAUUAGGUAGUUGGCGGGGUAAUGGCCCACCAAGGCAACGAUGGGUAUGUGGUCUGAGAGGAUGAUCACACACACUGGAACUGAGACACGGUCCAGACUCCUACGGGAGGCAGCAGUAGGGAAUAUUGCACAAUGGGGGAAACCCUGAUGCAGCAACGCCGCGUGAGUGAAGAAGGCCCUUGGGUCGUAAAGCCCUUUAGCGAGGGAAGAGGGUAGAUACGGUGAAUAAUCGUGUUUGCUGACGGUACCUCGAGAAUAAGCACCGGCUAAUUUCGUGCCAGCAGCCGCGGUAA
rnacentral:rRNA from 1 species